GAUGAACGCUGGCGGCGUGCCUAAUACAUGCAAGUCGAGCGAACGGACGAGAAGCUUGCUUCUCUGAUGUUAGCGGCGGACGGGUGAGUAACACGUGGAUAACCUACCUAUAAGACUGGGAUAACUUCGGGAAACCGGAGCUAAUACCGGAUAAUAUUUUGAACCGCAUGGUUCAAAAGUGAAAGACGGUCUUGCUGUCACUUAUAGAUGGAUCCGCGCUGCAUUAGCUAGUUGGUAAGGUAACGGCUUACCAAGGCAACGAUGCAUAGCCGACCUGAGAGGGUGAUCGGCCACACUGGAACUGAGACACGGUCCAGACUCCUACGGGAGGCAGCAGUAGGGAAUCUUCCGCAAUGGGCGAAAGCCUGACGGAGCAACGCCGCGUGAGUGAUGAAGGUCUUCGGUCCGUAAAACUCUGUUAUUAGGGAAGAACAUAUGUGUAAGUAACUGUGCACAUCUUGACGGUACCUAAUCAGAAAGCCACGGCUAACUACGUG
rnacentral:rRNA from 1 species